rnacentral:rRNA from 1 species
CACGUAGGCACCAAGCGUUGUCCGGAUUUAUUGGGCGUAAAGAGCUCGUAGGCGGUUCGGUAAGUCGGGUGUGAAAACUCUGGGCUCAACCCAGAGCCGCCACCCGAUACUGCUGUGACUCGAGUGCGGUAGGGGAGCGGGGAAUUCCUGGUGUAGCGGUGAAAUGCGCAGAUAUCAGGAGGAACACCAGUGGCGAAGGCGCCGCUCUGGGCCGGUACUGACGCUGAGACGCGAAAGCGUGGGGAGCGAACAGG